GGGCUCGUGACUGGGGGGCCGGCCAGCUUGCACCUCAACCCCACCUGCCCGCUGAGUUGGCUGCCCUUAUGCAGUGUGCAACCUGCGCAUCCUUCCCGGACUCGGUCUCCUGUUUGGUGGGGUGGGGGUCACACAGCACCCUGUGCAUGUCCAUCAGGGUGGCUGUGACUGUUGAUGAGGUGCUGACUGUGCAAGGGUUUGAACCUGCUGCGCCUCGUGAGGAGGGGCGGAAACGUCACCACAGAGAGGUGACCAGCAGAGGUCCCGGGUGGUGGGAGGGCAGAGGCUGGGAGGGUGAGUCGAAGUCGGGGAAGAUCUGCCCGGAAGGCUCCUGCCUGCCCCCAGGGAGAGGCGUGGGCGUCCCUCCUCCACCAGGCCUCACCCCAGCACUGACAGGCCCCCACUGAUCAGCCAGCCGAGAGCCCCGCCUGCCCAGGCCUUUUAGCCGAGGCCUUGGGCCUUCAUUGCCUCCAGGCUGCCAGACCCAGCGGGCCGGAGAAGUACCGGCCCCUCCGCCAACCCGGGGCAGCCUCCCGUCAGCCCGGAGACACCAGAGACUCCUCCCCACACGGGCUGCAGCCCUCAAAGCCAGACGCAGCUGGGUGCUUCUGCCCUCAGGCAGGUUCCUCUGACAGCCAAGGGCAGGAUCUUCCAAUCGCGCCUGAUCCCAAGGAUCACCUGGGGCACUUGUCAAAAUACAGCUUCAGAGCGGCUGCCCUAGCAUCCAGCGAGUCCAGGUGGGGCCCAGGAGUCUGCAUUUCACCAGCACCCCGAACGAUGUGACGGACACUGAAGUUGGACAGUCACAUAGCCACCGAGAUUAAGAGGUGUUUCAUUCAAUUCAAUAAAAACCUACUGGACAUCCCUCGGGCGCCAGGCCCUGAGUUUUCAUCCCGAGGAAAUGUCGCUCGCUAAACUCGACACCUGCACAGGAGGUCAGUGGCCCGGUUUCCCCCAUUUUGAGAGGAGAGGUUGAGGGGCUCCGGCGGUGGACAGCGGAGGGGGAUCUGGAACCCGAGACCCAGCCUGGCUGAUGCCCGAGCCCGGCUCCCAGCCCCCGGCUGCCGUCAUAGGUGGGAUGUGGUCCCUCCCCGGCCAGGAGCGCUCAUGCUGCCAAGACUGCCAGACGUGGGUGUUUUCCGUUGUUGUUUUUCAUUGAUGUAUUUAUUGGUGAGGAAGAUUAGUCCUGCGCUAACUGCCGCCAAUCCUCCUCUUUUUGCUGAGGAAGACUGGCCCUGAGCUCACAUCCGUACCCAUCUUCCUCUACUUUAUAUGUGGGACCCCUACCACAGCAUGGCUUGACAAGCGGUGCCAUGUCCACACCCGGGAUCCGAACCAGCGAACCCUGGGCAGCCGAAGCGGAGCGCGUGAACUCAACCGCUGUGCCACCGGGCUGGCCCUGGACUUGGGUUUUUUUUUUUUUUAUUAAUGUUAUGAUAGAUUACAACCUUGUGAGAUUUCAGUUGUACCUUUUUGUUAGUCAUGUUGUGGGUACACCACUUCCCCCUCUGUGCCCUCCCCCCACC
rnacentral:lncRNA from 1 species